GGAAAAUUCACCAUAGGAAAGGUAGAUUAUUUGCUAAGUAAUUGAAUAUAUAUUCUGAUGGGUUCGAAUCCCAUAUUUUCCG
rnacentral:tRNA from 1 species